AUUGUGCUGUUUCCCUAAACAUGAUUCAAUCAUGAAACAUCCUUGUAAAUAGUCUUGUUGUUAGAUGGACAUGUUUCAAUCAUGACCACAUUACAUGAAAUAGUUGCAAUGUAUGGAAAAGCUCCUCCUACUUUUUUGAUACUAAAUUACCCCUCCCAAUCCUUUGCCCGGGAAAAGCAAUUAUACUGCAGAAGAAGAAGGCCCGAUUUUAUCAGUGCUGCCUGGAACUUUAAGGAGGCAAGGUGCUCUGCUAGAAUAAUGCAAUGAAUGGCAAGCUUGCCUGUUUCAAAGGCUCUGUAGUGUAUGUGGCAGUGUAAGGGGUGCCGGGUAGAAGUAUCAAGUAGGUCUGAACUUCUAAGACACUACAAAGUUAAACAUCCUCACUUUGGGCGCACUGCUAGAUUUCCAUGUACAUACUUUUCUUGUCCAUGCACAUUUAAAACAUGGAAUGCAUUAAUUUGCCACCAAAGUAGACUACACAGAAAUGUAACACAAAAAAAUCACUCAACUUUUACCUGUCAACUUUGUGAUUGUAAGAAUUUGGCAAACGAAAUAGAAUAUUUUAGUCAC